GGGUUGUGAGGUUAAGCGACUAAGCGUACACGGUGGAUGCCCUGGCAGUCAGAGGCGAUGAAGGACGUGCUAAUCUGCGAUAAGCGUCGGUAAGGUGAUAUGAACCGUUAUAACCGGCGAUUUCCGAAUGGGGAAACCCAGUGUGAUUCGUCACACUAUCAUUAACUGAAUCCAUAGGUUAAUGAGGCGAACCGGGGGAACUGAAACAUCUAAGUACCCCGAGGAAAAGAAAUCAACCGAGAUUCCCCCAGUAGCGGCGAGCGAACGGGGAGCAGCCCAGAGCCUGAAUCAGUGUGUGUGUUAGUGGAAGCGUCUGGAAAGGCGUGCGAUACAGGGUGACAGCCCCGUACACAAAAAUGCACAUAUUGUGAGCUCGAUGAGUAGGGCGGGACACGUGGUAUCCUGUCUGAAUAUGGGGGGACCAUCCUCCAAGGCUAAAUACUCCUGACUGACCGAUAGUGAACCAGUACCGUGAGGGAAAGGCGAAAAGAACCCCGGCGAGGGGAGUGAAAAAGAACCUGAAACCGUGUACGUACAAGCAGUGGGAGCACGCUUAGGCGUGUGACUGCGUACCUUUUGUAUAAUGGGUCAGCGACUUAUAUUCUGUAGCAAGGUUAACCGAAUAGGGGAGCCGAAGGGAAACCGAGUCUUAACUGGGCGUUAAGUUGCAGGGUAUAGACCCGAAACCCGGUGAUCUAGCCAUGGGCAGGUUGAAGGUUGGGUAACACUAACUGGAGGACCGAACCGACUAAUGUUGAAAAAUUAGCGGAUGACUUGUGGCUGGGGGUGAAAGGCCAAUCAAACCGGGAGAUAGCUGGUUCUCCCCGAAAGCUAUUUAGGUAGCGCCUCGUGAAUUCAUCUCCGGGGGUAGAGCACUGUUUCGGCAAGGGGGUCAUCCCGACUUACCAACCCGAUGCAAACUGCGAAUACCGGAGAAUGUUAUCACGGGAGACACACGGCGGGUGCUAACGUCCGUCGUGAAGAGGGAAACAACCCAGACCGCCAGCUAAGGUCCCAAAGUCAUGGUUAAGUGGGAAACGAUGUGGGAAGGCCCAGACAGCCAGGAUGUUGGCUUAGAAGCAGCCAUCAUUUAAAGAAAGCGUAAUAGCUCACUGGUCGAGUCGGCCUGCGCGGAAGAUGUAACGGGGCUAAACCAUGCACCGAAGCUGCGGCAGCGACGCUUAUGCGUUGUUGGGUAGGGGAGCGUUCUGUAAGCCUGCGAAGGUGUGCUGUGAGGCAUGCUGGAGGUAUCAGAAGUGCGAAUGCUGACAUAAGUAACGAUAAAGCGGGUGAAAAGCCCGCUCGCCGGAAGACCAAGGGUUCCUGUCCAACGUUAAUCGGGGCAGGGUGAGUCGACCCCUAAGGCGAGGCCGAAAGGCGUAGUCGAUGGGAAACAGGUUAAUAUUCCUGUACUUGGUGUUACUGCGAAGGGGGGACGGAGAAGGCUAUGUUGGCCGGGCGACGGUUGUCCCGGUUUAAGCGUGUAGGCUGGUUUUCCAGGCAAAUCCGGAAAACUAAGGCUGAGGCGUGAUGACGAGGCACUACGGUGCUGAAGCAACAAAUGCCCUGCUUCCAGGAAAAGCCUCUAAGCAUCAGGUAACAUCAAAUCGUACCCCAAACCGACACAGGUGGUCAGGUAGAGAAUACCAAGGCGCUUGAGAGAACUCGGGUGAAGGAACUAGGCAAAAUGGUGCCGUAACUUCGGGAGAAGGCACGCUGAUAUGUAGGUGAAGUCCCUCGCGGAUGGAGCUGAAAUCAGUCGAAGAUACCAGCUGGCUGCAACUGUUUAUUAAAAACACAGCACUGUGCAAACACGAAAGUGGACGUAUACGGUGUGACGCCUGCCCGGUGCCGGAAGGUUAAUUGAUGGGGUUAGCGCAAGCGAAGCUCUUGAUCGAAGCCCCGGUAAACGGCGGCCGUAACUAUAACGGUCCUAAGGUAGCGAAAUUCCUUGUCGGGUAAGUUCCGACCUGCACGAAUGGCGUAAUGAUGGCCAGGCUGUCUCCACCCGAGACUCAGUGAAAUUGAACUCGCUGUGAAGAUGCAGUGUACCCGCGGCAAGACGGAAAGACCCCGUGAACCUUUACUAUAGCUUGACACUGAACAUUGAGCCUUGAUGUGUAGGAUAGGUGGGAGGCUUGGAAGUGUGGACGCCAGUCUGCAUGGAGCCGACCUUGAAAUACCACCCUUUAAUGUUUGAUGUUCUAACGUUGACCCGUAAUCCGGGUUGCGGACAGUGUCUGGUGGGUAGUUUGACUGGGGCGGUCUCCUCCUAAAGAGUAACGGAGGAGCACGAAGGUUGGCUAAUCCUGGUCGGACAUCAGGAGGUUAGUGCAAUGGCAUAAGCCAGCUUGACUGCGAGCGUGACGGCGCGAGCAGGUGCGAAAGCAGGUCAUAGUGAUCCGGUGGUUCUGAAUGGAAGGGCCAUCGCUCAACGGAUAAAAGGUACUCCGGGGAUAACAGGCUGAUACCGCCCAAGAGUUCAUAUCGACGGCGGUGUUUGGCACCUCGAUGUCGGCUCAUCACAUCCUGGGGCUGAAGUAGGUCCCAAGGGUAUGGCUGUUCGCCAUUUAAAGUGGUACGCGAGCUGGGUUUAGAACGUCGUGAGACAGUUCGGUCCCUAUCUGCCGUGGGCGCUGGAGAACUGAGGGGGGCUGCUCCUAGUACGAGAGGACCGGAGUGGACGCAUCACUGGUGUUCGGGUUGUCAUGCCAAUGGCACUGCCCGGUAGCUAAAUGCGGAAGAGAUAAGUGCUGAAAGCAUCUAAGCACGAAACUUGCCCCGAGAUGAGUUCUCCCUGACUCCUUGAGAGUCCUGAAGGAACGUUGAAGACGACGACGUUGAUAGGCCGGGUGUGUAAGCGCAGCGAUGCGUUGAGCUAACCGGUACUAAUGAACCGUGAGGCUUAACCUUACAACGCCGAAGCUGUU
rnacentral:rRNA from 1 species